rnacentral:rRNA from 1 species
UAGGGAAUCUUCCGCAAUGGGCGAAAGCCUGAUGGAGCAACGCCGCGUGUGUGAUGAAGGCUUUCGGGUCGUAAAGCACUGUUGUAUGGGAAGAACAGCUAGAAUAGGAAAUGAUUUUAGUUUGACGGUACCAUACCAGAAAGGGACGGCUAAAUACGUGCCAG